AUGUGCUUUGGAGUUGUAAGGUGGUAUUUUGUGAAACCAUUUGCCGGUAUUCUGUUGUGGGUUUAAGAACCAGGUUUCACACUUCUCUCAUCAUUUUUUUCUCAAAGAAUCACACCUGAUUUCUCUCUCUAAAAAUUGCAACGCCAUUAUUAUGGUGACACCACCCAUACCCGUCGUCAUAACCACCAAUAUAACACCUAACCUCCGAAAACCUAACACCGUCAGUCGGUUGUGAUGGCGUCGGGUGAAGCGCUUAGACGGUGGUGAUUGGGUCAGUGUUGACAGUGGUGAUAAAGCCGAUUUUCCUCUGCGGUUGUGUGACAACCGUCAUAAAUCCAGGAAGUCGUGUUCGCUGAGGAAAUUUGGGUUACGAUUCUGAAGACGCAAUACAGUGAGUUCAUGUAACAUUUCGUAUUUUCAAACUU
rnacentral:lncRNA from 1 species